CAGCAGGUUGCGAGAUGACGCUCGAUGAAGAUGACGACCUUCAUCACUUGAUGCAUUAAUCUCUCAUUGGAGAGCGUUGCCAUGACAAGUUCCGGCUUGGACAGAUACAACGUCUUGGUCGUGACGGUGGUGUUUGUGCUGUUCAGCAUUUUCGUGGUGGUCAUCAUGUUCUGGAUGUGCUGCAAGGAGGAACAAGAGGGGGAGAACCGCGUGGUCAGUCAAUACCCACUGGACAUGCA